UUUCUCAAUUUCGUUACAGCAAUGCUACUUUUCCAUGUGUUUUUUGACGUUUGAUCUUCUCUGUGACUGUGCUGAUUGACUACGCAUUUAGAGCAUAUCAGAGAGAAGGUUUUGUGCGUGUCUAUAUGUAUGUAUGGGUGUGUGUGUUUUCCUUUUUAGUGAUUUUUUUUUCGAUUAGGCCCAAAUCUAUGAUAUGUAGUGAGAGAGAGAGAGUGAGGGAGAAUUGUAUAGGUUCAUUUGAGUGUUGAAUCAGGCGCGUUUUCUGGCGAAUAUGAAUGAACACGAUCAUGACUUAUAGCGACUUGCGUUUCUGGAAUCCUCAAUUGAAUCGAUGUGAAUCUCUUUUGUACUUUCAUCAUUCAUGAGUAGUUUCGCGGUCUAUUGAUUCAAUGUUUUGAUCUUCAUCAUCGCUUAAGGAUACACUCAAUCGCUACAGAUUUUCUCUUAGCAUUCAAUAGGUUAAACAUUGGUAAGAUUUUACUGUUUGUGUCACUAUCUAAUACUACUAUCCUUUUGUUUGAGCAUUGAUCUAUGCAGCUAUCCAAACCACCUAGAGUCUGAUUCUGAUUUAGUUUCUUGGAGAUUCAUGACAUUUUCAAUUAACAAGUUACUAUUGUGGCAAUGGAAGAACAAAAUCACAAAAGUUAUUUGCAGUUUUUGCCACUGUUAAUGGAUUGGAUAGCAAGUAAUGCAUCCGGUUCGCUUUGUGACUUAGACUCCGACCAGCACUAUAUCGUGGCAGUAGGAAGUGACGAAACUAUGUUUGGUUUGUUUCAGAGACACGGCACACUGAAAUUCAGAAACAAAUGUUGUAUGCUGUUUUACCACAUUUUCCUACUUUGGGGGGAUUACCAAACCCUUCUCAUUUGGUAAAGAACCAUUCUGCAUGAUGGAUACAGAUAGAAUUGUUCCUGUGCAGUGCAGAAUUAAAAUUUCAAGAGCAAAGUCCUAUUUAAGCUUUUUGUCAUUCGUAUAUUAUCUUGUAUGUAUGUUUAAUGAUUCUGAUAGCAAAUGAUACGGGCUUUGAUACUUAAAACUGAAACAACUUAGUCAUACAGGCUGCAUAGUGGUGGAGAUUUUGUCACCUCACUUGGAACAGCUAGUGUACAGGCUGUAGCAGUUUGUCUUUAAAAUAAAGUUUUUAAGACUUUUCCUGCCAAAUUGUGCUUCCUAAAACUGAAAUGCAGUUAUCCCAGCAGGAACAGAAGUUGAAUGAAGCGUAUAGUCAUGCUUUUGAAACUUAUUACAUUCAUGUGCUUCUGCAUUCAAAGAUCCUUCCAAAGUCAAUAGGAAAAGAUCAAGAGAGAGAAAGAAAGCUUAUGCUAUCAUAUUCGCAAACUGAGGAUUUCAGAUUGGCUAGAUGCAUCACAAGAAUUGCUUCCUUCGAGAAGGGGUAAUGUAGCAAAUAUAUCCAAAACAUGAAACAAUAAGCUCUUCAUGUUCGUGCUUAAUUUCUACUCACACUACCUUUCUGUCAAUGGAAACCAGUGGGUUAUCAACAGACAUACAGUAACUUUUGCGUAUGUGGUCCUCUUUGGGGGUUCGGAUGGGGGACGUGUGCUGAGGUCCUAGUGUCUCCUUGCUGCUGUCUAAAUUACUCCUCAUAAUUUCCACUUUUUUUUACCUAGAGGGCAUUGGCAUGUGCAACUAUCAUAGUUUCUUUUUCGACUGUUGUUUUCUAACUUCAUUGAUCUUACUCAAGCUCACUCCUUUCAUAAUUUAAAGAAUGAUGUGUUCUUGUUUCAAUUUUUUUUUAAUUGUUUUGAUGUAAUUUGGAUGUGAUAAAUAUAACUGUGUUCUUUCUUUAUAUCCAAUUCAAACAUUUUUAUUUCUCAUUCUUUUCCUUCUUUAUACCCCAUAUAACUUCUCCUUACCUUCCAGUUUGAAUUGUGAGGGUUAAUUAUUGUUGACCCCUGGAUGAAAUUUGAGACUACAACUUAUCCUCUACUUAACUUACAACAUUGAAUUGAAAUCCUAAAGUUGCGUUUUCUCUCCAAGUUGAUACUUUAAAUGUCUGCUAAGGUUAUAUUUUUUUAUACAAGCUGAAGACUCUUGCUUGCAAAUGGUUGCUGCCUUGCUUCUACCAUAGUUAUUUUGGAUUUUACACAGUGGUCCUCAAUAUUACAAAAGGCUUCUCUUUUACAUAGGGCUUGGUCCUACUGUUGCCCGUUGCUCAACACUAGAGACCAGAGGGAAUAAAAGCGCUGCCCUUCUGGCACUGCAAAUAUCAUCAUCCAAGGAACAAAUACC